GACGAACGCUGGCGGCGUGCUUAACACAUGCAAGUCGAACGGAAAGGCCCUGCUUUUGUGGGGUGCUCGAGUGGCGAACGGGUGAGUAACACGUGAGUAACCUGCCCUUGACUUUGGGAUAACUUCAGGAAACUGGGGCUAAUACCGGAUAGGAGCUCCUGCUGCAUGGUGGGGGUUGGAAAGUUUCGGCGGUUGGGGAUGGACUCGCGGCUUAUCAGCUUGUUGGUGGGGUAGUGGCUUACCAAGGCUUUGACGGGUAGCCGGCCUGAGAGGGUGACCGGCCACAUAGGGACUGAGCUACGGCCCAGACUCCUACGGGAGGCAGCAGUGGGGAAUAUUCCACAAUGGACGGACGCCUGAAGCAGCAACGCCGCGUGCGGGAUGACGGCCUUCGGGUUGUAAACCGCUUUCGCCUGUGACGAAGCGUAAGUGACGGUAAUGGGUAAAGAAGCACCGGCUAACUACGUG
rnacentral:rRNA from 1 species